ensembl:lincRNA
CUGAAGACCAUAAAGCCUUGACAGGGUGGGGAUUUAGGUCAAUGGCUGUUAUCUGCCUUGCAAGGUCCUGAGUUCAAUCCCCCGUACUACAGAAAAACAAAAACAAAAAACACCUUGACAUAUUAGUCAACAAGCCUUGUGAAGGAAAAGCCUUGGUCAAGUUCAUGGGAGCUGAGCUGGCUUUAAAAGAAUGGACAUAGUUAAUAAGAGCAGCUAUUACACAUGACCUUUUGAGAGCUUGCCCUGAUCUUUGACUCAUUCUUCUCUUUAACUGAAUGGGAGAGGAGUCAGGGAUUCCUCUGGUCUAUCCAGCCCCUUCUACUGGGAGCCUUCCUCGCUGUCCACUGCUGGGAGCCAACAGGGGAUGCGUCAGGCCAGCCCAUCACUCUAGCAGAGGCAACCGGAGUGACCUCACCAGAGGAGGAGCUGAGAUCUGGCUUAAUCCAUGGCACUGACAUCCACUUGGCGACCUGGGCUUUGCAGUCAGUUUUUUUAAUGCUCCCGAAUGGUCAGAAAAAGAAUGCAGCUUGCUCCUGGACACUGGACUUGGCCAUGUGACUCACUUUAACCAAAGAUAGCUUCUGGUUCCACCACGGAAACGUCCAGCCUCUGAGUCACCGAGGCCUAAUUCCACAGAGAAGUAAAGAGGCUUUUGUGGUAGCAAUCCUUUCCCUUCAACCACCGAGCAAGGCUUCUUCAGGGCUCCGGCCACCAAAGAGCUUCUCCAGCUCCUUUGGGUGAUGACUGAGGCGACUGAGCUCUGAGCAUCCACUGGUGACAAGUGACAACUCUGAGAGCCAUCAAGUCCCCUGCCUUCCUUACUAGAAGAGUCAUAAGAAUCUUUCCUAUCAACCUUCUCUUCGAAAUCGUAAGCAAAUGCUGAAUUAGAACAGCACAUUUAGAGCACUACAGGAGCACGACAGGACAGCAUUGUGGUUCUACCUUGCAACUUCUGGAACAUGGUGGCCAGGGAGCUCAGCAGGCUCGGCAUCCAUAUCGUCCUCAUCAUCCUGUCAUCUCCACACUUCUCCUUUUUCCUUCCUUCUACUGUGUCCUCUGUAAUGUUUGUUCCAUUGCAAAAAAAAAAAAAAAAAAAAAAAAAAAAAAACCUUCCACCAUUCAUUCAUUUACUCAGUAAACACGAAAAGGACGUUUUCUUGUUGCCAGGUGCUAUUCUAGUUGCCAGGGAUACAGCAGUGAACAAGAUGGCAGCUGUCCCUGCCCACACAGAACUCCUGCAGCAACCCAGAGACAAGGAUGUGGUUCCUCUUCCCCCAACAGAAUCCUUAUAACCCGCCAGACAAUCUCUGACCCAGCGCCCUAUAGGAAGAAGUUGCUGGGAUGGGAAGAACUUCAUGGGACCAAUUCGGUGAUCGCGGCCCCAAACACCACGCAGUCUUCUUCGCCCUGGCACUGGUUCCUCUUGCCACCCCUACCCAGCUGGGAGCCUCCUGCAAGAACAACAGAUUUAUAAUGUGAACAAAACAAAGGAGUUGGGAAGGAACAACUCUUGCAAAUAAGUAGGUCAAGGCACCAUCAAUUUCCAAAUUUAAAAUUAUGUUUGAAAAAUGUACCUUUAAUACAAGAGGCUUGUGGCCCUAUGGGGUAAAACACGAAGGCUUUAAAGUUCCUGAGCGGAGGCUUCCUCAGGUAGCCUGAAGUUUACCCUGGAGGUUAAGCAAUAAAAUGAAAACAAAAAUAAUUUAACAGUUUUGCAGUUAGUUGAACUCAGCAACAGCUCACUCAAUCGCUUUCACCUUCCUGGAGCUUGCCGUCCUCAUAAAGUUACAAGAUGCAUUUCAAAGCUAUGAAUUUGCUAAAUAGAACUUCAUUUCCUCUUCUUAUUAGAGGUAAUUAAAUUUAUUAGACGUCAGUAAAAGCCUUGUAAACAGAAAAUAUGAAUGCUUAUAAAAGUCUGCCCUUUCUUUUCAACCUAAUAAUUAAGAUGCAACGAGAAAGCAGCUAAUAACGGCUCAUAAUUUAUGAGGUGCCAUUCACCCCUGAAUCUGAGACAUAUUGUGGAGGUAUUAAACACUGAAAUGAAAAUAAUACCCACUGAAACACAUUAUUUAUUAAAUACAUAACCACUCAGAGAAAUAAACACGUUGCAUAAAGAACUUGGUAUUUCUGAUGGAAACAGCAUAUACAUCAUCUCCUGCUUUGGAUAUAUUACCCAUCGAGUUGAAUUCUUACAUCAAAGUCACAACUUGUUUAAAUGCAAACUGCCCAUGGCAGCCUGGCAGGCCCCAAAUUUCCACUAGACGUUCACCUUGAUAUCAGUUUUCAAAGACAGAGUCACUGCGAAGGUUUUUCAUUAUUAUUGUUUUUAGCAGUCUUGAAAGAAAAGAACCCCCUUCCAGCAAGCAUUAGAAAAGCAGAAACAUUAGAGAAGAAAAUGAAGAGAUUCUGAAGAGAAUAGUGAGAAUUUAAAAUUCGUGAAAAAGUUUCUCACCCUCUAAUACACACAAAUUUAGAAGCAGCUGCAGAUUCAGUGCCCCACCCUCAUCCCACUCCAAUGAUGC